rnacentral:tRNA from 5 species
GGGCCCGUGGCCCAGCCUGGAUAGGGCAGCGGCCUGCGGAGCCGUUGGUCGAGGGUUCAAAUCCCUCCGGGCCCG